rnacentral:rRNA from 1 species
AGUGAACGCUGGCGGUAGGCCUAACACAUGCAAGUCGAACGGCAGCACAGUAAGAGCUUGCUCUUACGGGUGGCGAGUGGCGGACGGGUGAGGAAUACAUCGGAAUCUACUUUUUCGUGGGGGAUAACGUAGGGAAACUUACGCUAAUACCGCAUACGACCUACGGGUGAAAGCAGGGGAUCUUCGGACCUUGCGCGAUUGAAUGAGCCGAUGUCGGAUUAGCUAGUUGGCGGGGUAAAGGCCCACCAAGGCGACGAUCCGUAGCUGGUCUGAGAGGAUGAUCAGCCACAUUGGAACUGAGACACGGUCCAGACUCCUACGGGAGGCAGCAGUGGGGAAUAUUGGACAAUGGGCGCAAGCCUGAUCCAGCCAUACCGCGUGGGUGAAGAAGACCUUCGGGUUGUAAAGCCCUUUUGUUGGGAAAGAAAAGCAGCAGGUUAAUACCCCGCUGUUCUGACGGUACCCAAAGAAUAAGCACCGGCUAACUUCGUG